GACAGAGGGUGCAAACGUUGUUCGGAAUUACUGGGCGUAAAGCGCGUGUAGGCGGCCCGGAAAGUCGGAUGUGAAAGCCCUGGGCUUAACCUAGGAAGUGCAUUCGAAACUCCCGUGGCUUGAGUUCUGGAGAGGGAAGCGGAAUUCUCGGUGUAGAGGUGAAAUUCGUAGAUAUCGAGAGGAACACCGGUGGCGAAGGCGGCUUCCUGGACAGUGACUGACGCUGAGAAGCGAAAGCAUGGGGAGCGAACAGG
rnacentral:rRNA from 1 species